UUUAAGCGGUAUUUUUUAAUUUUUGGGGAAAUUUUAAGCGGUCAACAAAAAUCUCAUUUCAAUUUAAAAGUUUUCGUUCAUUUCAGUAGCCGGAAUUCAAUAAGGGUUUUUCAAUAAAAAAAACCUAACCCUGAAUUCAUUCCAAAUUCGUCUGAAAGAUCAAACAUAGGGUUUCUCUUAGUGGAACUCACAAUUAUUUUUCUCUUAACAAAGAAAUACAAAUUCUUUAGUUUUGAUAUCGUUAGUCUUCAAUUGGGAAGAUGAACUUCGAUUAGGGAGCACCCAAAUUGAAGUCUUGAUGCAGCGGCCAAUCAAGAGCUCGAGCGUGAUGUUGGUCGACUGACAGAUUGUAGAGCUAGGUUGAAUUACUUUCCACUGGGUGUGUGUGCAUUGUGGCUGGCAUUGGCCUACCAACCGAUAGGUUUAUGACUUCUGAUGCCUUAUGAUUUACUGCUCCCUUGAGAAACAUAUUGAUCGUUUCUUAGAUAUACCUUCGCACAACCACUGCACGACCAACUCUAACGGUCCAAGGCAGACCUUAGUGAGACAGAAGUAAUCAACUUCGCCAAAUUAACCUGGUUUGACCAGGCACCAUCCCAAAGUUCUGACUGUAACCCCAAUCCAAUAGAACCAGCUGCACCCAAUGUGUGAACUGAGGCAACACUGUCGCAAGCGUACCAGCAACAAGCAACAUGUAAAGUUUACACCACCCUGCCUACAUCCUCAAAUAAAAUACCCAAGACCAGCUAUGUGCAAAAUGGCUCAUCUAAAGCGUUAAAUUGGUUUAAUUUGCUUAUGAUUUCUUCAAGAACUUCACUGUACCGGACAAACGGCAACUAAUGAUGGUCUGCUGACAUUUGCGUUUGGAGCUACUUUGGCCUUUAUGGCUUCUGUCUAACUAUCAUAUGCGGCAGUACUACAGGGUCCAAGUCGGCAUACAGACAUCAGAAGCAAUCACAACCACCCAUGGAAUAUUACGCAGAUUUAGUGAUUUCUAGAAGCUGUUUUCAGAGGUUAGACCACAUAAUUUUAUUAGGGUGCCUUUUUGUCUAUUUCCUAUAUACCCUGUAAACUGGAUUGGUCUAGAUGUUUUUUUCGACGGAGCUUAAACAUAAUUUUUUUUCAUUUCCUGUUACAGGAAAUUUAUUGCUACUGUUUGAUAGUUGUUUGUCAUUUGAUCUCUUUUGUACUGCAGUCAAGAAACAACACUGAUGUUCUGAUCUCAGCCUCACUAAAACUUUUCAGUGACCGGUGAACUUGUCUGCCUCUAUAAAAUAACUUUAUGUCUCUGGUCUCUUUGUUAUUGGAGUUUAUAUUUAUUUAUAUUUAUAGUAUUGAAUCCUGUUUCCUUGCUGAGAUUUUUAAGAUCAGGAGUGCAAAAGACGUCGGAGAAGUCACUGACUCACUGUUGUUGUUGUAGUUGUUGUUUCCGUUCAUUGUUGUUGCUGCUGCUGCUGUUGUUGGCUCUAGUUGUUGGACUCUUGUGUUGCUACUUCUAUCCUCUUGGUCAAGGGCACUGAGGCAACACUUCUCAGAGAUUCACUUUCAGUUGGAGGGUAGGAAAAAGAACAAGCUAGCUGAUCAACUCGCUGGUAUUACACGUCAGGAAAGCAUGGAGAUGAACCAGAUCAUGCAACUUCGGGAACCUACAGCUGAAUGUUUGAAAUUUUAUUAUGAGGACAUCCAUGAUUGUAGUUGUAGUAAUCUAGAAAUAAUAACGUAAUUUUUAUGCUUUCAAGACUUUGCUCUCUCCAGAGACUUUAUUGUAGCCCGUACCUUUUCUUAAUUAAAUUGCUGCCCACUUUCAACCCAAAAAAAAAGAACUGCAUUAUUAAAAACAAAGUU